GACGAACGCUGGCGGCGUGCUUAAUACAUGCAAGUCGAACGCUACUUUCCUGCUUUUGUGGUGCGCUCGAGUGGCGAACGGGUGAGUAACCCGUUAGUUACCUCCCCUUUAAUUUGGGCUUCAUUCAGGAAACUCAGGCUGAUACCGGAUCUAAUACCCUGUUGCAUUUUGUGCGUUGUAGCGUUUCGGCGGUUGGCGCUGGCCUCGCGGCUUAUCGGCUUGUUCGUGGGGUAGUGGCUUACCAAGGGUGUGACGGGUAGCCGGCCUGAGAGGGUGACCGGCCACAAGGGGACUGCGAGACGGACCAGACGCCUACGGGAGGCAGCAGUGGGGAGUAUGGCAGAAUGGGCGGAAGCGUGAGGCGACAACGCCGCGUGCGUGAUGAUGGGCUGCGAGUUGUAAACCGCUUUCGCAGGUGAUGAAGCGUGAGUGACGGUAAUGGGUAAGGAAGCAACGGCUAACUACGUG
rnacentral:rRNA from 1 species